rnacentral:rRNA from 1 species
UACGUAGGGUGCAAGCGUUUGUCCGGAAUUAUUGGGCGUAAAGAGCUCGUAGGCGGUCUGUUGCGUCGCUGUGAAAACCCGGGGCUCAACCCCGGGCCUGCAGCCGAUACGGGCAGACUAGAGGUAGGCAGGGGAGAGCGGAACUCCUGGUGUAGCGGUGGAAUGCGCAGAUAUCAGGAAGAACACCGGUGGCGAAGGCGGCUCUCUGGGCCUUACCUGACGCUGAGGAGCGAAAGCGUGGGGAGCAAACAGG